rnacentral:rRNA from 1 species
AACGAACGCUGGCGGCAGGCCUAAAACAUGCAAGUUGAGCGGCUACUUCGGUAGCAGCAGCGCACGGGUGAGUAACACAUGGGAACGGGCCCCUGGGUGCGGGACAACGUCUGGAAACGGACGCUAAUACCGCAUAAUGACUCCGGUCCAAAGAUUUAUCGCCAGGGGAUCGGCCCGCGUAUGAUUAGGUAGUUGGUGGGGUAAUGGCCUACCAAGCCGACGAUCAGUAGCUGGUAUGAGAGGAUGAUCAGCCACACUGGGACUGAGACACGGCCCAGACUCCUACGGGAGGCAGCAGUUAGGAAUAUUGGACAAUGGGCGAAAGCCUGAUCCAGCCAUGCCGCGUGUGUGAUGAAGGCCUUAGGGUUGUAAAGCACUUUCAGAUGUGAAGAUGAUGACGGUAGCAUCAGAAGAAGCUCCGGCUAAACUCGUGCCAGCCGCCGCGGUAA